rnacentral:rRNA from 1 species
UUUAUUGGAGAGUUUGAUCCUGGCUCAGGAUGAACGCUGGCGGCGUGCCUAAUACAUGCAAGUCGAGCGAAUGGAUUAAGAGCUUGCUCUUAUGAAGUUAGCGGCGGACGGGU